UAAUGAGCGGCAGUUAUUUCUGUCAUAGAGAAAACGGAAACGGUGCAGUGAACACUCCGCUUAUUUCUUCCACAUAAUAAUCGAAAACGAAAGCUGCCAGUCAGUCGGUGAAGUACUUUCUAGAAAGUGAGCAAGAUCAGAAAUAUAUAAAGUGUAGGAUUGGAUUUCUAUUACCAGAGAUGGCGGAGAGAAAUGAAAAAAAAUCAGACGAUGAAACUCUUGAAUCAUACAUUGAACGAAGACUUGAAAGAAAUGACGCUGAAAUAGAAGAAAUUUAUGAA